rnacentral:rRNA from 1 species
GACGAACGCUGGCGGCGUGCUUAACACAUGCAAGUCGAACGGAAAGGCCCUGCUUGCAGGGUACUCGAGUGGCGAACGGGUGAGUAACACGUGGGUGAUCUGCCCUGCACUUCGGGAUAAGCCUGGGAAACUGGGUCUAAUACCGGAUAGGAGCCAUUUUUAGUGUGAUGGUUGGAAAGUUUUUUCGGUGUAGGGUGAGCUCGCGGCCUAUCAGCUUGUUGGUGGGGUAGUGGCCUACCAAGGCGGCGACGGGUAGCCGGCCUGAGAGGGUGGACGGCCACAUUGGGACUGAGAUACGGCCCAGACUCCUACGGGAGGCAGCAGUGGGGAAUAUUGCACAAUGGGCGCAAGCCUGAUGCAGCGACGCCGCGUGGGGGAUGACGGCCUUCGGGUUGUAAACUCCUUUCGCUAGGGACGAAGCUUUUUGUGACGGUACCUAGAUAAGAAGCACCGGCUAACUACGUG